AAAAGAAACAUCAACUGCCAAGGGCACAACACAGGAGCUUGCCUGGAAAUGGAUAGACCUGAAAGAGGAGACUAGUCCCAGCCAUUGCAAAGCCAUCCUGGAGAACUUUCCUAUGGGGUUUUGACGCUUUGAGUGAAAAGAAUGGGGUGGGCUAACCCACCCCCUGGUGAGUCUGCAAGGCUUCUGGGUGAAAACGAUCGACCUGUUGUCCUGGAGGAAAGAAUCAUGAGCAAAGGAAAUGACUCUGUCACUAGGACACAGCUGGGUGGCUGGGUCGGUUCCAGUUUUCUCACCCUGCUGAGAACUACUGUGGUACAGCAGACUGUGGUUUAAGUGAAGUGAUAACGGAUCAAGCUGUACUUUUGAUCAGUUGAGCUCACUGCUGUCCACAAUUCCUUUGGAAUCUCAGAAGCCAACCAGUCAUGUGAUUGACACACACCGGAAGCCACCAUGGCAAUCAGGUCAGCACCAGGCAGCUUCACUUUCCCUUGAUCAUCCUCCUGUAUCUGUUGGUUGAGCUUGUGAGUCUUCUCCUAGUCACACCAGAACUCUCAGCCAACCGCUAUCCAUGUGUACGUCGUGUGGGAUCGGAGCCUCUCUCCUCGUGGACAGAUUCCAUUGAUUGUUCUCCAGUGUGAGCCACAGAUCGCUUGGGAGAGCACACUCAUCGAACCUGCUUCCUGGCCGCAUCAUUCAGACAUCUCUGCACAGAGCAGGAAGCUGUCCUCUGGCACUGUGUGAGCCUGCGGUGUGCUGUCAGUGCUGAACUGUGCGUCUCCGGCUGGUUGCUGUUGGGCCUGUUCCAGAAACACAUCCUCAAGGCUCACUACCAGCCCUGCCUUCUCCAAGAGUGCUCUCUGAGCAUCCUUCCCAGGGCAGUCUCUCACGUCUGGACCACAGCUUGACAUUUGACUUGUAUGUCUUUACUCUCUCUGAAUUCCACCAAGUGUCAGCUCCAUGGGGGCAGAGACUGUGUCAUAUUCAUUUGAACAUCAAGAUAGAAUUAUAGAGUCAUCGUUUCUACAGUUUUUUUUUAAGAGCAAUCAAAGACAUGCCAGUGUGUUGGUUGGUUUUUGCUUGUUUGUUUUCGUCUACUUGACACAAGCCAGGAUCACGUGGGAAGAGAUAGCUUCAGUUGAGAAAGGACUGUAUCAGGCUGGCCUGUAGGCGAGUCUGUGGGGCAUUUCCCUGAUUAACGAUUGCCACGGAAAGGCCCAGCCUUCUGUGGGUGGUGCCGGCUCUGAGCAGGUUGUCCUAGGCUGUAUAAGAAAGGUUGUUGAACCACGCAGGGGAAGGAGGUAACAUCCCUCCAGCCUCUCUACUUCAGUUCCAGCCUUAAGUGCCUGCCCUGGCUUCCCUGGUAGAAUAACCCCCCUGCUUUUGGUCAUGGUGUUUUAUCACAAUAGCAGAAGGCAAACUAAAACUGUCACCAAGGAAAGGACAAAGUGGAUUCUGACUCUCUAAGUGGUACAGUCGCAGUAGUGGGAAGGGAUACACGAGAUACAGGACACAGAAAGCAGUCGUGUUUGCAGCUCCUGGGUCCCAACACAGCCCUCUGGUUCUCAUACAAAGGCCCACGCAUGUUGCUAGGGUUAAGACGUGGCCCAUCCCCUUAAGGUUCAUGUGGCAAGAGUUUUGUCUCAAGUGUGGUGGUGUCAAGGUCCUAGACCCUUUCAAAGGUGGCCUGGAGGAAGGGCCGUAGGUAAAGAGGCGUCUGCCCUUAGCAGAAAUGAGUGAUUUUCUUACAGGGCUGUGUUGGGUCUCUGUGAGAGCUAGUCAUUAUGAGGUGAGGCCAUGCCCUAUGCCUGACCCCUUCUGCAUGGGACCACGCUCUCUUCUGCUUCUCCACCGUGUUACAGUGUAGCCAGGAGGGUCCUCAGCAGAUGCUGUUACCAUGCUGAAUGCACAUUGCAGCCACCAGCAUGAUGAACCAAAUUCAACGUCUUUUCUUUGUAUUUUGAUAUCUUGUUCUAGUAAUACAAAAUAGACUAAGGAGGGAAUUAAAUGGUUUUUUAUUA